UUUAAAAAAAAACAAGUGAACCAUCAUUGUACCUGCCAUUUCUUUUUGGGCAUGGUAACCAUUUAAUCCGAAAGGAGUUCUUCUAAAGGAACGUAAGCAUAAUUGUAAGUUCUCUGUGUGUUCGAAUCCACACUACCGUUAUUUCUAUUUUAGGGGACCAUUCUGACAACGAUCGUAGGAUAACUUCCAUUCACUUUCGUACGUUCACGAAGCUCUUUUAUUUUCCGUUGACUCUCUCCAUGUAGAGAGUUCACGUAUUGGGGUCAAGAACUACGAUCCGACUGUUUACCUGUGAAACGAAACUAUAGACCACAUUGUGUUGCGGAUAAGGGGGCAUAGGAAAGUAAAUCGACUAAGUACUGGAGUGCAGUGUGACGAUCUAGCAUCAAACCAUUGAAAUAACUUAAUGGCCGAGUCGUACAUAUCUUGAAGCCGCUACCUUGCUUCCGACACUUUGUGUAACACUUAGAGCAGCAUUUGUCAUUCAACGUGCAACCAUAUACCAGGACCUGUGGAAAAGAAGACCUAAAUAUUGAUCGUACGGUGAUGUAGCAUUGUUAAUCCUUUUUGUAAAUUUGUGUGUUUGCAUUUGACCCACCUCGGUGGUGAUCAAUUGAUAAUUGGCCUGCAUAGAGCCAAGAUUAUUACUGUUAAUUGGUAAGCUUGACAUUGUUGGGGUACAAUAUUUUAGCUAGUCAAGAGAUUACUCUCGUUAUGGAGUGAUAACAAUUUAUGUAAGGUACGAACGAGCUCGUAAGAACCGAAUAAUUUCAUUGCCCAC